AAAAAGUGCUUGCAACACACUAAAAAAAAAAUUUUAAAUAAAAGAAAUACAAAGAAAAAAAUUCUUCAAAUUAAAGAAAGAAAAGAAAAAAAUCUAGGAACAUAAUUAGCACAUAAAUAAUGUGGUAUUUUUGUAGGCGGACAAAUACGAGCGGACUCGUGGGCGUGCCACCAAACUGAGUAUUGCUUGGAACAAUAAUAAGU